rnacentral:tmRNA from 1 species
GGGGCUGACCGGUUUUGACAGGAUGUGUGAGGGUGUAUGCCAGCAUGCAGGCUCAUGAGGGUAGAGCCUUAACCACUGCUCUCGAAUUCUACGUGGCGAGAAUACCUACGCCAUGGCUGCUUAAUCUGACCUAAGGUUGGAUUAGCUUAUCCGGGGAUAAGAUCCCUGGAGGCCAUCAUCGCCCGGCGCCUCUGUUUUGCGGGAGCCGGAUUUGCGGUGUCGUUCAGCAAAACUGGGCCCUCGUGUGUCGCGCACGGGUGUCGAGACAACAGCGACUAAGGAAGUGGUGAGGCUGUUGCCUGCCUUCUGUUUCCCGACAAUCAAAGUCAACUAAGCAUGUAGAACGUACACGUUCAUCUUCUCUGGACCAGGGUUCGAUUCCCUGCAGCUCCACAA